UACGUAGGUGGCAAGCGUUGUCCGGAUUUACUGGGUGUAAAGGGCGUGUAGCCGGGCUGACAAGUCAGAUGUGAAAUCCCGCGGCUCAACCGCGGAACUGCAUUUGAAACUGUCAGUCUUGAGUACCGGAGAGGUCAUCGGAAUUCCUUGUGUAGCGGUGAAAUGCGUAGAUAUAAGGAAGAACACCAGUGGCGAAGGCGGAUGACUGGACGGCAACUGACGGUGAGGCGCGAAAGCGUGGGGAGCAAACAGG
rnacentral:rRNA from 1 species